rnacentral:rRNA from 1 species
ACGCUCGACACCUACGGGAGGCGGCAGUAGGGAAUCUUCCACAAUGGGCGGCAAGCCUGAUGGAGCAACACCGCGUGAGUGAAGAAGGGUUUCGGCUCGUAAAGCUCUGUUGUUGGAGAAGAACGUGCGUGAGAGUAACUGUUCACGCAGUGACGGUAUCCAACCAGAAAGUCACGGCUAACUACGUGUCAGCAGCCGCGGUAAUCUGAGCGGGCUGGCAAGGC